AAAUAGUUAUGCCGGAUACAGGUGGUGCAUGGUUGUCGUCAGCUCGUGUCGUGAGAUGUUGGGUUAAGUCCCGCAACGAGCGCAACCCUUGUCAUUAGUUGCUACAUUUAGUUGGGCACUCUAAUGAGACUGCCGGUGACAAACCGGAGGAAGGUGGGGAUGACGUCAAGUCCUCAUGGCCCUUAUAGGUAGGGCUACACACGCCAUACAAUGGAUGGUACAAAGGGUCGCCUACCCGCGAGGGGGAGCCAAUCCCAUAAACCAUUCGUAGUCCGGAUCGCAGUCUGCAACUCGACUGCGUGAAGUCGGAAUCGCUAGUAAUCGUGGAUCAGAAUGUCACGGUGAAUACGUUCCCGGGUCUU
rnacentral:rRNA from 1 species